GGCCUGUUAGCUCAGCUGGUUAGAGCGUGGUGCUAAUGACGCUGAAGUCGUGGGUUCGAUCCCCACAUGGGCCA
rnacentral:tRNA from 1 species